GAAGCAAAGCUCAGGGACAAGUGCGGUUGAGCCAUUACAUGGAACCCGCAUGUUUGUUGAUGAAAAGGAUGUGGAGGACUACCUGCUAUCACAUCUUGACAGCUCAAAGCCCCACGAAGACUUCAAUAACUUUAAGGCUGGCAACGUGUUGAGGACACAACAACAAGCAAAGAAACUUGAUGUUACAGGAGUGUUUGGAGCAUCCUGUCGUCAUGAAAUGCCCCUAAUGUUUGUCAACAUGAGCCAAGGAGAACGGCAAGUCUAUGCCAUUGUAGUGACAUCUCUUACUAUUUACCCAGUGUUCCAGAAUGAUAAUUCCCCUGUUUGAUUCUAGCUAUUCAUAAAAUGCCUAAAAUAGCAUGACCCUAACAUAAGCCAUAUUUUAUUUAAUUUUUUUAGUCACCAAAUAUAAACCUCAUGGAAUGUAUAUUAGAGAUUCCAAAAUAUUACAAAAUGUAAACUUUACCACAAUUCUAUGAUAUUCACUAAUAUAAGAAAACAUGAAAAAUGUUUUGGAUCAUUCUGAGUGUUCUUAUUGAGUAUUUAGGUAUUGAAUGUGAUGCUGGAGAUUGUAUAAUUAUUUGUAACUUUUCCUCAGUAUAAAGUGUUUUAUCAUUCACAUUUUUGUGUUGAAAUAGAUUAGCCUAUCCGCUGUGUGUCAUCGAUGCGCUACUUCAAAGAUGUGAGGACAAGAACAUACACCUGCGAGUAGUCUAUGACAUUGCCUGUGUUGUUGCCUCACAUUUGCAGGGGAGGGCAUACCACACAACAUCUCCUUGGCAGUACCAGCAUUUCAUGUUUAUGGACACAAAUUGCCCUGCCAGGUAAUUCACAUGACUUCAUAGGGACAUCAGGACAUGUUACACACAUCAUUCACUCCCUGUUUGGCCUCCAUUUUUCCUGUCUAUC